rnacentral:ncRNA from 1 species
AGCAGGGGGAGCUUGUAUAUCAGGCUGAGAGGAAGCGAUCGGGCUUCGACCCCAGAACCUGAUUUGGGUAAUGCCAACGGAGGGAAGCGUG